AGGCAACAAAACUACAACUUCUUUAGGUUUAGGCAACAAAACUAAAACGUUUUAGGUUUAGGCAACAAAAACACUUAAUAAGGUUUAGAGAACAAAACUACAAGUAUUUUAGGUUUAGGCAAUAAAACUACAACUAUUUUAGGUUUA